rnacentral:lncRNA from 1 species
UGUUCUAAUCAUCACUGUAAUUGCAUUCAGGAAAAAGAGCAUGGAAAUUUUGCAGAAAAAAAAUCUUUUGAGUAAUUUACCUAUCCUGACUUCAAGGGUAAUAGAUUUUAAUUUUAAGAGAUUGAUCAUCAUUAGCAAGUAAAAGGAAGCUACAUUUUGAAGAAGAAAUUCAGUGUAAAGUCUGUUUUGCUCUGGGUUCCUAACCUGGAAUGUUUUUCUGUGUAUAACCUCAGGGUCCCUUGAGAAUAUGAAAGGAAGCAAACAAAACAAACAAACAAACAAAAAAGCAAAGCUAAGAAUUAUAAUGACCCACAAGUAUAGACCUACGUACUGUAAAUGCAAUUAGAUAGCCCUGUACAAAGUUCUUUGAACUCAAAGACACAUUGAAACCCAAAUCUUGAAUGCUGGUUAUCUUUCCCAUUAUUAAUGCAGAGUACAUGCUAAAAUGUUUUGCCCUUCAUAUUCAGAAGAGGUACGUAUUCAUUACCAUUCACUCAUCAUAACUGUCAUACAAAAAUCAGUUGAAUAAUUACAGCGAAGUGCACCCAUGAAAGUGAGUUGAUCAAAUUAAAAUUAAUUAGUUGACAUUGUAUUCUUUGUUUAUCAUGAUCUUUUCCAGUCAUCUUGUGCAGGGUUAUACUCAUAUCUCUGAAACUGUUUUUUGUCUCUGCAAAAUAAAUGAGUGAUGCUACACUAGGUGCAGAAAAGGAUGGUGAACUUUACCAUUCAAAUGAAGAUACUUCUGCGGUUUGUUUAAGGACAUUCUACAAAAGAUUCCUCCUAUUGAUUGAUCUUUCUUUUUGCAAAUUCACUGGAGUUUUUCUAAUAGCAUUACUCAGAAGAGUUCUCAGCCAAACUGAAUUACAAAGAACAAAUGGUUCCAGGGCCUCUAAGGAAUCUCUGCUCAGCAAGCUGGUGUGGUUUUAUUCCUUGGAAAAGGUUUUGUUAUUCUAUCAGGGAUUUUACUGCCUAAAACAAAACUGAUUAAAAAAAAAGGGAAAGGAAAAUCCUAUCAUCAUGAGCUUCAAAAGCAGGAAAAAAAAUAUCUAUUUCUGAAGGUCUCAGGGAUUUUCUUUCAUACACAGACCUCAAGAAAAAUCAGCGUUCUUUCUUAUGCAUGUUGCAAAUCUACCUACUGAACCAUGAAGUUUAGGACUCUCCAGCUUCAUAUUUCUCCUGUACUGCCUGACUUUAUUUUUAACACUUCUCCCACACUACUGGGAGAGUACUGCCCAGACUCCAACCAGCACCAAACCUGGAACUCAGUUCUGUUCUUCUUCAUCCAGUAUCCCACCCCACAGACUGUAUAAUGACCUGAAUCCCAGUAUAGUUACUACAGGAAUAGAAAACAUUUUUUCCUAAACAUCCUUUGUCUUUUGAUUUGGAUCAUUCAUAAGCACAUUUUAAGACCUAUCUUGUAUUCAACACCUUUUCAUUACGAAUAACUAACAGUUAAAGAAUUCUUAAGACUAAGUAUUUUGUACUGAUUGGUGCAAUGCAAUCUGAGAUUUAUAUAUAUAUUUGGACAAAAAGCAGCACAUCACGAAAAAUACAAAGUACUAAAAGUAAAUGAAAUAUUAAUUAGAAAUCAAGUAUGUUAUUCUUGAUAAAAAUCUUUUUUUCACUACGUAGUGAAUAUGAAUGUAUGAAUAUGUAUGCAGUUCUCCACAUGAAAUAUAAUGUACAAUAUGUUUGUUCUGUACGUUCUUAUUGGGAAGCAAUAAUGAAGAUCAUGGAGAUAAAAGAAAUUCAAGAAAGAGAGAUAAAAGCCUGAUAUCACUGAAGUUAGUAGCAAAAACUCCUUUUUGAUUCAAAUAAGGUUAACUUUUACAUUUGUUAUACAAUAAUAUGUUUUUUCUGGAACAAUUGUUUUGUGGCAUAUCCAUCAUGCAGAGAAGCUCCAUUUUUAUUUUACUUAUUUCUUUUUAUAGUGUAAUACUGUAUUCUCUGUACCUUGGUGUAACAAAAAACUUAAUGUUUGACAGACUGAGCACUUCCUUUUUAAGUCACUGGUCAUCACUGACUUUGCUGUUCAUCUUACCUAAGAAUUAACUUUCUCUCUUUUAAGUGAAAACUUGAUACUGAUAUUUAAAAUCCCACAUAUUCCUGUUUGGACUACCACUAUUUUUAGCUACAAAAAGCUGUUUGAUAUUCAUUUUUUUUUUUUAUUCAAAUGGUAGAAUUCUCAACCUCAUCUUCAUUCAGGUCCCAGAAGUUAC